rnacentral:sRNA from 1 species
GGAUGUGAAGGCAAUCUGGCUGGGACAAAUCUGUCACCCCAUUGAUCAUCAGUGUUGCUUUGGCUGAUUUUGCCUGGUAGGUGGGUGUUUUCUUUCUCCCUCACCACUCCAUGUGAGCCUUUCCCCAACCGGCACGUCGAGUGAAAGUAGACAACCAUUUCAAAUCAAAGAAAUAUACUGUUUUUCAGUCAAGAUAUUGUUCGUGUCAAUGGUAACACAUAUCUCACAUCUCCCCAAAUAAUAAGGCCAAGUGUUCAGCUGGGG